AGAGUUUGAUCAUGGCUCAGGACGAACGCUGGCGGCGUGCCUAACACAUGCAAGUCGAGCGAGGAACUUCGGUUCCUAGCGGCGGACGGGUGAGUAACACGUGGGUAACCUGCCUUGUAGAGGGGGAUAGCCUUCCGAAAGGAAGAUUAAUACCGCAUAACAUUGCGAUAUCGCAUGAUAUUGUAAUCAAAGGAGCAAUCCGCUACAAGAUGGACCCGCGGCGCAUUAGCUAGUUGGUGAGGUAACGGCUCACCAAGGCGACGAUGCGUAGCCGGCCUGAGAGGGUGAACGGCCACAUUGGAACUGAGACACGGUCCAGACUCCUACGGGAGGCAGCAGUGGGGAAUAUUGCACAAUGGGCGAAAGCCUGAUGCAGCAACGCCGCGUGAGUGAUGAAGGCCUUCGGGUUGUAAAGCUCUGUCUUCUGGGACGAUAAUGACGGUACCAGAGGAGGAAGCCACGGCUAACUACGUGCCAGCAGUCGCGGUAAUACGUAGGUGGCAAGCGUUGUCCGGAUUUACUGGGCGUAAAGGAUGCGUAGGCGGAUAUUUACGUGAGAUGUGAAAUUCCCGGGCUUAACUUGGGAGCUGCAUUUCAAACUGGGUAUCUAGAGUGUGGGAGAGGAAAGUGGAAUUCCUAGUGUAGCGGUGAAAUGCGUAGAGAUUAGGAAGAACCCCAGUGGCGAAGGCGACUUUCUGGACCAUAACUGACGCUGAGGCAUGAAAGCGUGGGGAGCAAACAGGAUUAGAUACCCUGGUAGUCCACGCCGUAAGCGAUGAAUACUAGGUGUGGGAGUUGUCAUGACUUCCGUGCCGCAGUUAACACAAUAAGUAUUCCGCCUGGGGAGUACGGUCGCAAGAUUAAAACUCAAAUGAAUUGACGG
rnacentral:rRNA from 1 species